rnacentral:rRNA from 1 species
AACAAGUAACCCGGAGGGAAAGUUGCAAAGUACUUUGAAGAGAGAGUUCAAGAGGGCGUGAAACCGCUUGGAAGGAAACGGGUGGACCUGGCGUUAGUCUGUUGGAUUCAAUCCUGAAUUGUCGGCGUUUAAGGGACGUAAGCCCUGUGACUGUCGGCUUGAAGGGUGCAUUUUCAGCGGAUGCGCACUAGGGACAGUUUGACUGCUGUGUGAAGCGGGUGUUGAGGGCUAGCGCUUGCGUUAGUGUCCCGCGCCUGUGAAUCGCGAGUUGGUUGGACUGGCAAACGUUGGUGUGUGCGCUUUUGGCUCGAAAAACCGGUCGCUUGCGGACGGAUGUUAGGUGCUCCCCGCCGGGGACCCGGACGACUGUUUGCUUGCAUGCUGGGGACUCGAGCUCACGCACCACCCUGGUGUACCAGUCAGUUACCCACCUGACCCGUCUUGAAACACGGACCAAGGAGUCUAACAUGUGCGCGAGUUAUUGGGUUGCAAAACCUAAAGGCGUAAUGAGAGUGAAGGCUGGCUCGACUGGCUGAUGUGGGAUCCUGGGGCAACUCAGGCGCACCACAGUCCCGUCUCGUCUGCAUUGUCAGUGAGGCGGAGACAGAGCGUACACGUUGGGACCCGAAAGAUGGUGAACUAUGCCUGAGCAGGACGAAGCCAGAGGAAACUCUGGUGGAGGUCCGAAACGGUUCUGACGUGCAAAUCGAUCGUCAGACUUGGGUAUAGGGGCGAAAGACUAAUCGAACCAUCUAGUAGCUGUUUUUCUUUCCGAA